GUGGUCACUUGAGCAUCAUAUAUACUAAAAUUGGAACAAUAGAGAGAAGGUUAGUAUGGUUCCUGCACAAAGAUGACACAGAAAUUUGUGAAAAAAAAGUUCAA
rfam:Cavia porcellus supercont2_4 genomic scaffold, whole genome shotgun sequence.